GAAUUAACGAUCACUAAGCCCUGGGUCCUGUGCAAUGCUAUUAGCUCUCUGUAUGUUUCUUGCGGUGCGCCGUUGUUGAUUAUCGUAGUGCGGUCCACACGCGCUUUCUUUGUGCCCGGCUCAUGAGAAGUGUUGUACUUUCGCCGCUCCCGCAUCGGCUCACAGUGCACGGAAGAAUGUGUUGAUAGUUGUGCUAUCGCGUGCUGUAGUUCACCGCAAUUCAACACUACGCUGGACGGACUGUUGGUGCAGUCGAUGCGGCGUGAACGGACACGAAGGAGCGCUCGCCUCAGAAGGGAUGUCACAAUUUCCUGAGACGGAGGCAUCUCUGCACCACAAAGGAGACUGCGGCACUAUGCAGCCUGAACAGCACGACAAAGCAUCUGAUCUGCCUGCUUUGACAAGAUGUGGCUGGGCCUGCAGAAAGAGUGUAAGCACACUACUGUGUUGCUGAUCAGUGCUGGUGCUGAUCUCUACGUCUGAGUUGGCCUCACAACGUCCAGGCGCCACUGUGCUUUGCUUCAUUGACAAGGUGUGGCUGGGCCUGCAGAAAAGCUGUAAGCAGACUGCAGUGUUGCUGAUCAGUGCUGAUCUCCGCGUCCGAGUUGGUCCCACAAUAUCCAGGCACCACGGUGCUUUCACAAGAGGCAUACGAGCACUUUGUUUCAAAAACGCCAAGCACCGUGGAUACAGAGGCAAGGAGGCUGAAGGACCUGAACAAGCACCUGGCCACCAUGCUUCGGGAUGCAAAAUAAAGAUGGUUUGUGUUAA